rnacentral:tmRNA from 2 species
AGGCUGGAACGAUGAAAAACCUGUCAGCGGGUGUUUCACCGUUUGAGAUUAAAAACACUGACUAAGCAUGUAGGCUCUUUGAGGUCUUCUUUUUUGGACGUGGGUUCGAUUCCCACCGCCUCCACCA